ACCUGACAGAAGGUUAUGGACAUAACACUCCUGGGGAGAGUGAAAGACAACCAUACUGUACAACAACCUGACAGAAGGUUAUGGACAUAACACUCCUGGGGAGAGUGAAAGACAACCAUACUGUACAACAACCUGACAGAAGGUUAUGGACACAACACUCCUGGGGAGAGUGAAAGACAACCAUACUGUACAACAACCUGACAGAAGGUUAAGGACAUAACACUCCUGGGGAGAGUGAAAGACAACCAUACUGUACAACAACCUGACAGAAGGUUAUGGACAUAACACUCCUGGGGAGAGUGAAAGACAACCAUACUGUACAACAACCUGACAGAAGGUUAUGGACAUAACACUCCUGGGGAGAGUGAAAGACAACCAUACUGUACAACAACCUGACA